rnacentral:rRNA from 1 species
UACGUAGGGUGCGAGCGUUGUCCGGAAUUAUUGGGCGUAAAGAGCUCGUAGGCGGUUUCUUAAGUCUGAUGUGAAAGCCCACGGCUCAACCGUGGAGGGUCAUUGGAAACUGGGGAACUUGAGUGCAGAAGAGAAAAGCGGAAUUCCACGUGUAGCGGUGAAAUGCGUAGAGAUGUGGAGGAACACCAGUGGCGAAGGCGGCUUUUUGGUCUGUAACUGACGCUGAGGCGCGAAAGCGUGGGGAGCAAACAGG